rnacentral:rRNA from 1 species
GACAGAGGGUGCAAACGUUGUUCGGAAUUACUGGGCGUAAAGCGCGUGUAGGCUGCUUCGCAAGUCGGAUGUGAAAUCCCUGGGCUCAACCCAGGAACUGCACCUGAAACUACCAGUCUUGAGUGGUGGAGAGGGAAGUGGAAUUCCUGGUGUAGCGGUGAAAUGCGCAGAUAUCAGGAGGAACACCGGUGGCGAAGGCGGUGGUCUGGGCCGGCACUGACGCUGAGGAGCGAAAGCGUGGGGAGCGAACAGG